rnacentral:rRNA from 1 species
AAGAGAUUAGAGGUUCCCUUCGGGGACAGAAUGACAGGUGGUGCAUGGUUGUCGUCAGCUCGUGUCGUGAGAUGUUGGGUUAAGUCCCGCAACGAGCGCAACCCUUAUUACUAGUUGCCAGCAUUAAGUUGGGCCCUUUAGUGAGACUGCCGGUGACAAACCGGAGGAAGGUGGGGACGACGUCAAAUCAUCAUGCCCCUUAUGACCUGGGCUACACACGUGCUACAAUGGAUGGUACAACGAGUCGCGAGACCGCGAGGUUAAGCUAAUCUUUUAAAACCAUUCUCAGUUCGGACUGUAGGCUGCAACUCGCCUACCCGAAGUCGGAAUCGCUAGUAAUCGCGGAUCAGCAUGCCGCGGUGAAUACGUUCCCGGGCCUUGUACACACCGCCCGUCAC